rnacentral:rRNA from 1 species
CUACGGGAUGCUCCAGUCGAGAAUCUUUUGCAAUGCGCGAAAGCGUGACAAUGCGACGCCGCGUGAGCGAUGAAGCUCUUCGGGGUGUAAAGCUCUGUCAGCCCGGAUGAAUAUUUUUUUGUGAAUAACAGGAAGAGAUGACAGUACGGGCAGAGGAAGCCACGGCUAACUCCGUGCCAGCAGCCGCGGUAAUACGGAGGUGGCAAGCGUUGUUCGGAUUUAUUGGGUGUAAAGGGUAUGUAGGUGUCCCGUUAAGUCGAACGUGAAAUCCCUUGGCUUAACCAAGGAAUUGCAUUUGAAACUGACGGGAUUGAGUAUGGAAGAGGAGAGCGGAAUUCCCGGUGUAAGGGUGAAAUCUGUAGAGAUCGGGAGGAACACCAGUGGCGCAAGCGGCUCUCUGGUCCAAUACUGACACUGAAAUACGAAAGCAAGGGGAGCAAACAGGAUUAGAUACCCCAGUAGUC